rnacentral:lncRNA from 1 species
UGGAGAUGAAGCUUGUUUCAAGCCAUACCUGAGAUGAAUUUGCAGUCUACUGACAGAACUGGAAACUAAACAAUGUUUGCCUCCACAGCAGGACUGCCAGUAUAUUGAAAAUCCACAUCCAGAAAAUGAAUCCUCUCCUCUUAAGCUACAAAAUGUCCAUCUGAAUUGAAAGGAACAGAGUAGGGCAUAAAGAGAGAUCUUUAUGUCACUUAAGUAACAGCCUUAUGCAAC